UAUAGCCUCAAAAGUAAACUCCUUACGGUC
rnacentral:piRNA from 1 species